GAAGAAGCAAAUCCUUCAUUUAACUGUAGCGGAGGCAACAAUUAAAAGGAGGUAUAAAAGGAAAACUUGCAACAAUCCUAGGGUUUGGUUUGCUGCGUUGUGGUCUGGUGAUCUUGGCAAUUCUUGGCGACAACUGAACAACUGCUAUUUUCGGCCGAUACUUUCCACGAUAUGCUUUCCUUUGCUGCUAUCUUCGACAAUCUCAACAGAUGGAUAUGAAUGUUGAGAAUGUGGAAUAAUGUGGUGAUUAUCGCACAAUUGAAGAAGAAGGGGUGGCUGAAGUGGUCGGGAGGAAGUGUUCAAUCAUAGGCAUUCAUCCUUGAGAAAUAUAAUUGAGCGAUGCUUUGGGUUGUUGAAGAUGAGAUUUGCUAUUUUGAGGGCAAUGCCUCCUUAUAAGUUUUCAACACAAGUAUUGAUUGUAAUGGCUUGUUGCACUUUGCAUAACUUCAUCAGAAAUCAGCAUCAACCUGAUGAUUUAUUUGAUGGGUAACGAUCCUCCUCAAACUGACGGUGAAGAUGAUGAGAUUGUUGACCAUGUGCCUUCGUCCCAGCUUCGAGAAAUGGAUCAGUUGCAUAAUACUAUUGCUGAUCGAAUUUGGAAUUCUCUUCAGCACUCUUGAUCCUUCUGGAAGUGAUGAUAUGAAGUGUGUUGAUGCUUUCUUGAAGGCCACAUGUGCUGUUAUGAAGAUGAUGUGUCGUUGCCAUUGUCAUCCACUUUAUGAACUUAUUAUUAAUUUUUAGUGACAACUAUGUAUUGUUAAUGCUUUGUUCCAAACAUUUAAUGUAGAACUUAAACUUGUAUAAUUUGUUGGUUGAAUAUUUAAGCACCUGUAAAUGGUAUACACUCUAUUCCAAUUAUGCUUUCAA